ensembl:lincRNA Gm26852 predicted gene, 26852
AGGUCUGGGAGUUUUACUUGGAUAAAAUGAACUCUAGCCUUACCUCACCCAGUCCAAACGAGUCUCUGGUGUCUCUGCAGACAGACUCUGGCCUCAACAGUCAGGCAGACAGGCAGAUGUCUGUUUUUAGUACUAGAGAUUGACUGUGGUAAUGGCCUGUAUGUGUGAUAUGUUUGCUCUACCACUUAACUAAACCUACAGCCCCUCACCGUGAGUCCAGACUAGGCACCCUGCCUGAGACACACCCACAGUCUACAAUGCCUGUUCAAACAUAGGCCUGAAAGCUGGGCUCAGCAGUCACAAGACAUGGCACCCCCAUGCGGAACCAAAACCCCAAAGCUCCAUCCAACCACACAGGUAUGAGAGCUCCUGGAGCCGAAGUUCUGGUCCAGCCUAACUCUCCAGAACGUGCACACCCUAGCACCAAGCCUGCUUGCUGGGGACGUAGUCUGCAGUAACCCCAAGAGCAACGCAGCACACAAACCCCAAAAGUAGGGUAGUCUCCUGUGGUGGGGCCGGGUUAAGGGUGCUAUCAGCACCACUGCCCUGCCCUGUGACACAUGUCACCAGUAGAAAGAGGGACUGAAGCCAUAUAUAUCUAGGAAGGGCAGAGCUGAGGAUGUGGGCAGCAGUGCCAGGCGUACCUGCUCAUACCAGGAGGCCACGGUGCUUUCCAUGUACUGGUAGCUGGUGAAGAAGGCCACAAUGCCAUCUGGGACCACCGCGGACAUCUCCAGCAGGAGGUUGCCAUAGUUGCGGAUCACAGCUAGGAAGAGUAGGUUAAAGAUUGGAUCCUCUCCUGGCUCCCAUUGAGACCACCUAACCAUAUCCCAAAUGCAUUCUCCCAAGCACAUUAGAGGGCUGUCUCCCACUCCCUGAGGAUAUAUAACUUGUGACAGCAAAAGAGACAUGUAGAAGUCUUCCAUGUGACACUCAGGAGCCAGUGCCCAAAGUUCCAGGGGCCCGUGCUUAGGCUCAAUAGUGCACCUGUUAGGGCAGACCUCCAAAUGAAGAAACCUACGGCACUGAGGAUGGGAAGGCCCCCUGGGCUAGCCAUAGAGGCUGGGCUAAUGCUAUGGCAGCAGGUCCUAGGCCACCUGAGACCCACCCCAACCAAGCCUACAGGUGACUCACCAAUAUCUUCUCUGGUCUCAAACUUGGAGCUGAUUGCAACCUGGUCAUUACCACGGCCAAUGAUCUGGAAGAAUCAGGUUAAGGGCCUUGAGAUGAUGUCUCAUGUAGCCCAGGCUGGCCUUCAAACUAGGAGCCUUCCCAAGGCUCUCUUUCCCCCCAAACCCAUGAGAAGGCUCUUCUCCAGCCUCCUGAAGUUCUGUGUAGCCAAGGUGACCCUGGUUCUCCUGCCCACCUCUGGAGUUGAGAUCACAGGCCUGCGCCCAGUGCCCGGCAUGCUAGGCAAGCGCUGGAGCAAACAAGGCCCGAGUUCAGGUAAGCCUUAUGCAGACAACAGAUUAGAUGGCCCAAGCCUAUGGCUGGCACUGCUUGGGCAAGUGCCUGGAGCUCAACCAUGAGCCACCUGACCAUAGUCACAGAGAGGGCCCUCUGUGCUUCUAAGCAGGACUAUACCAGCCCUGAGCAGUUGCAGACAUAGGUCAUCCACAGCACACGUCCCAUUAGCAACCCUCCGCAGUCCACCAUGCCAGUGAGUGGUCAGAGAGACUGAUACAAAAACCCACAGCUCUGAACCCAACUGUCUAACCCCUGCUGCAAAGCCACUGCCUUCUGCGAAGUCCAUGCUCCAUGAGCAUGCUGUCCAGUUACAGCCCCUCCCCCAACAGUAAGGUUAAAGGGUUUCUGACUGUGUGCCAGGCAGUAUCCCAGCCACCCUUGGUUGCUUGUGGCCCAUGGGUUGAACAUGCCUAGCUGCAGGGUUCUGAACUGCAAAGCAGAGACCAUGAGGCUGAGAGGACAACUCUGCCCCAGAGGGAGGCUCAUUACUCAAGACAUAGCUGGGUGACAAAUGACAAAGCCAUCAGCACGAUGAUGCCAGCCACCACCUGCCCAGGCCUGUGUCGCACCAGCGUACACUGCGUGCAUGUGUCUAUGUGCCAUAGCCCGGCGGCGGCGUGCACUUGGUAACUUGGUGCACCCACCAGGCCUGAGCCUCAGCUGAGUAACAGGAUGCAUAGGUCGAAGCCAGGAGGCAGGCGGUUCCCCGGUCUCACCCACUCACCAUCGGGCAGAGGCAGACUCGGGCCAGCGUCAUGGUGAAGGUUGCCAUUGUGACAGGGUGGAAGUCCAGGAUCUUGGGGUAGAUGUCCAGUGGGGACAGUGUCUGUAACGGAGACAGCAAGGGAGACCUCAGCAGGAUGGCCGGAGACCAGGAGCCCGAUGAAGGAGCAGCAGAGUCCUCACCCCAGAAGUGAUGAUGACGGACUGGAAGCGCUCAAACACAGGCUUGAUGGCCAAGGAGGCGUCCAUACAGCUGCGGGACAACACGGGGGUCACACAGGGCAGAGGGCGGGGCCUGUCCCAUCCACACAGGGCUGCAUCUCACCUGAAGUGCAGAACAGGGUUGGCAAUGGUGGGGGUCCUGUCGUCAAAGGGCUCAAUGAUAAUGGUGAAGCCUGGUGGAGGGGGAGGCCAGGGAGUCUCAGUCACUCAUCACCCGGGACAGAACUGCCCCAGCCUGCCCACUUCUGCGACUGCUCAGAUGCAGAAGCAGUGAGCUGUGGCUUCAUACAUGGUCCCGCAGGUAGGCCAAGCCCGCCAUUCCCCAGGCAGCUCUGUCCUCCAGGCUCUCACUCCUGCUCCCCGCAGAGCAACCAGAGACAUGUCAUGGAACCCCAAGUUUGCUAGUUUCCACACUUCCCAUGACCCCAGAAGGGUGCCAUGCACUCUGCCGGGCCCCCUUGCCCUGAGCUGCUGUGCCAGCUUCCACUUGGCUGAAUCCCUGCCCCAGAGGACAGUGCCAGGGCUCCUUGCAGCACCGCUACACUUCCCAGGGUCACCUGGGACAUCUUUGCUCCUCAUCCUCCCCAGGCCGUGACUCCUGGAAGGGGAGGAUGAGGCUGUUUCAAUAGUGCUGGGCCUGGCCCCAUUUGCUGACUGAACAAAUGAAUACAUUCAUGGAUUCUGUUUCACUUGGCAAAAAUGAUCAGGUCUUACGUGUCCAGACCUUGCCAAGGACACAGCAGUGACCAACACAGCCUCAGUCCCACCCAUAAGAGCUCCCUUGUACUAGGGGAGACAGCUAUCUAGAGAGCAAUGAUCCCAGGCGCAGCUGGAAUAGAGAAGGGGCAGGCCUAGCAUAGGGUGGGCUGGGUGCCUUUCUGAAAGCUGAAGGACUUGGGCAGGUGAUAGGAGGCGUAGACAAGAAGGCUUCCAUCGAUUGUGAUGUUGUAGGUGGGGAGGAGGAAGAGACAAAGGCCAAAGGAAGGGGCAUGGUGAGUGCUGAAAGCUUAAGGAAGCAGGCAGCUGCCAACAGCCUGCAGUGGGGCUGAUGGGGGGGCCUCCUCCUUCCGAGGCCCAGGCUGGCCCAGCUGCAGGAUGCCAGCUGACCUGGUUUCCUGGCUACGGCAGUAAUCCCCAGGGAUAAGCCUGAAAACUCAGUGUGGAGCUGGGGGUGGGGUGGGGCAGCACACAACACAUGGACAGAGGAAACAUGACAGAUGGACCCAAGUGAGGGACCCAGAAGGUCCUGGGAGGCCGGCCUCUGUGGAUCAUCAGCCUGUUUCUGUCUCCCUUGAGGGCUUCUUGCCCAGCGCCAUGCUUCUCCAUCCUGGCCUCUUUCUCCCAUAGUUCUCCCCAGCACACUCUUCUGUCCCCAUUGUCUACAGUUCUGAAUCUCCCUGCUACAUGAACCUCGAAAGCAACAAUCUCACCAAGUGCAUCCCUUGCCCAGAACCUGCCAUGGUUCCCUGGUGCCCUCAGUCACACACAAGGAUUCCUCACCCCACUGAUGGUGAGGUGACCCCUAGUGUCCUUCUGGUCAGUGCCACAGCAGAGCCCACACACUUGCUCUCUGAACACAAGAAUCUGACCACGAGGCUCCUCACUCAGACACCCUGUAUGGUCUUCCCCCCGCUAACGCCCCACCCAUGUGGCUGACCCCCAAGUCCUGCUGUCAGAACCCCAGUAGAGAGGCGAGCUCACCCUUGGCGUAAGUGCUGACGAGAGUGGCGAAGUUAGCAAGGAGUGUGAGCGGGGAGAAGUCGGCCAGGUCAGCAAUCUCCAGGGUGUGCAGCAGGGAGCGCAGGCGUUCAGCACAGAACCUGAGAGGCAACGGGGUCAGGAGCGGGAAGCAGCAACAGGCCCGACUCUCGCCAUGUUUCCCUGGGCACCUAGGCAUUGUGUGAAGCUACCCCAUACUGUACAAGACCCCCAGAGCUACCACUCCGGACUGGAGCACAGCACAUGCAGUCAGUGCACAGGCUCACCGCUCACACGCAAUAUCCUGUUAAGACUCCUGGCGAGGCAGAGGCAGGUGGACCUUUUGGGACUUUGAGGCCUGCCUGGUCUAUGAAGCAAGUUCCAGGACAGCAAAAAUUACACAGAGAAACCCUGUCUCAGAAAACACAACGAGGGACUGGAGAGAUGGCUGAGCAGUUAAGAGCACUGGCUGCUUGCUCUUCCAGAGGUCCUGAGUUCAAAUCCCAGCAACCACAUGAAGGCUCACAACCAUCUGUACAGCUACUCACAUACAUAAAACAAAUAAAUCUACAACAAAACAAAACCGAAAUAGAAGUGGAAGGAAAAACCCAACUCCACAAAGUUGUCCUCUGACCUCCACAUAUGGAACCCCUUCUUCCCUCCACUACCGUCACUACCAGGAAUUCCUCCAGAGUUUUCCUAUACAUAGCCCUAGCUAGCCCGAAACUCACUAAGAAACCCAGACUGUACUUCAAACUCGAGCCAUCUGUCCUCAGCCUCCCUGUCCCUAGAAUUACAGACAUAACUGUAAUUACUGUCAGUCAGUUUAUGCGGUGCCAGGACGGAACCCAGAGCUUCACCCCUGCUAGCUAGGCUAGCACCCUACCAACUGAGCGACAUUCCUCGCCUUGCUAUUUACAAUUGCUGUUAGUACACGGUCUCGCUGUGUAGCCCCGGCUGGCCUCCAAACUCGCAGCGAUGCUCCUGCCUGGGUCUUCCGGGUGCUGGGAUAGCAAGGCCCGGGCCCCGACCAGGACGUUAGCCUGCCGGAGGCAUCAGACUGCAAGGAGGGCAGCCUCGCCACCCACCUUGGCGUCCAGCGUGCGCUUGAGCUCCAGCAUGUAGGAGAACUGCUCCGGGUAGAUGUAGUCGUACGGGAAGUAGACCAGCAGCCCGUCCACGUUGAGCCUGGCGGCGGUGAGGCGUCGGUGCCCGGUGCUCUCGAGCCGCCCCGGCCUCCGCGCCGC